rnacentral:rRNA from 1 species
AGAAUGAACGCUAGCGAUAUGCUUAACACAUGCAAGUUGAACGUUGUUUUCGAGUCAAAAUGAAAACAAAGUGGCGAACGGGUGAGUAACACGUGGGCAACCUGCCCCUAGCACUGGGAUAACUCCGGGAAACCGGGCUAAUACCGGAUAUGACCUUUGAGGGCAUCCUCGAAGGUGUAAAGGAUUCUGGCUAGGGAUGGGCCCGCGGCCUAUCAGCUUGUUGGUGGGUAACGCCUACCAAGGCGACGACGGGUA